rnacentral:rRNA from 1 species
UACAGAGGGUGCAAGCGUUAAUCGGAAUUACUGGGCGUAAAGCGUGCGUAGACGGUUGCAUAAGUCAGAUGUGAAAGCCCCGGGCUCAACCUGGGAAUUGCAUUUGAGACUGUGUAGCUAGGGUGCGGAAGAGGGAAGCGGAAUUUCCGGUGUAGCGGUGAAAUGCGUAGAUAUCUGGAGGAACACCGGUGGCGAAGGCGGCAUCCUGGACCGGUAUUGACGCUGAGGCGCGAAAGCCAGGGGAGCAAACGGG